GAAGAAACGUGUUAUAAUGCAAUCAAACUUUGAGAUAUCGCGAUAGGUUUAAUUAUCCGACCACGAUUAUAAAGGACCACUUUUGAUGACAUGGAGCAUCAGGCGAGAACGGAAUAUGCUGAUGGAUUGAGAGGCUUUUUGACAGCCUCAAUUCUUAAAACUUACUAUAAAUCCGACGCCAAACCUGAACUAAGAGCAAUUUCAGCAGUUUCAAUGUAUGAGCAAUUUUGGACAAAUAUUGGCCCAUUGUCUGAAAUUUUUAAUGGCAAAUAAAAGAAUGGUAACUCCUGUAAAUUUUACUUUUAACCUUUUAACAUAUUUAUUUAUUGCCUUUUUUAUUACUAACUAGUUAGAUAGUUAUUUAAUUUAUAAUAUUUACUAAAGAACAGUACUAGUAAAUUGAGUAAGAGGUAAUUCUUUGGUGAUUGUAUAAAAUUUUUAUAAUAAUAAUAUUAAUAAUAACAUUUAUAAUAACC